AGUAGGUCAAAGGUCAGAGGUCAAAGAACGGUCGCGCGCCUCUAAAAUGACGUAUGCAUAAUAACAGAAAUGUAGACGUUGAUUAACUGUCAGUUGGUGACGUACAGUUGCUGUUUAAGUUGGUGAAAGUUAAGCUAACUACGAGUUAAAAUGACUCGAAACAGUUUUAACACUAAUGAAGAUUAAAAUACGGCUUCUGUGUUUACCUGUGAAGCUUAAGACCGGGACAUUUUCCAGAGGAACAGAUGAUGAACAAACCAGAGCAAAAUAUACCAAGAAGCCAGACAAGACAGACAACUCCAGAGUUGUUUCAUGUCUGCUGGAUGUCAACUCCAGCACCACCCUCAACAUUCAAGAUUCAAGAUGUUUAUUGUCACCCCGGUUUUACUAGUACACUCGUGUGAAAAUCCUCUGUGUAGAGACUCCACUACAGAAAUGGUCCCCCAGGAACAAGGUCAAAGGUAGGCUAUAGGCUUAUAAUAUGAAAAUGUUAAAUGUUGCGAUUAUCCUGAUAAUCAUCAAACUAUUCUUAAAUAUAUUUGUAGCAUCGCAGAUGGGAGACUUGUUUUGCAGCUGAAAAACAAUCAAUCAGUCACAGAAUCUUAAAUAAGUAAUCAUAAGCUCUUCCUGCAAAAAUAAAGGACAAUUAAUGGUGGUAACCUCAUCCAUCGGUUAUUUUUAGGGUUAGGGUUUUUAAUUUGGAAUGCAAGUGUUUUGGGCUCUGGUAAAGUUAUAAGAUAUAAAGCUAGUCCACUAGUCAAAAGAGUCAUUCUGAAACUUUAAGUUGUCAGUCAACACCCUGGUGUCGGCCUUUCCAGUGAGGCUAAGAAGUAUGACAGGCCAUUAACUGCAGCCAACCCUCAUAAUGUGAGAAGGAAGGAAGUCAGGCUUGUCUUCACAGCUUGAUCUCAGUCUCACGCUCACUCUGACGAACGUUGUCUUUCAGGAACAUGUCUUUCUCCACUGAAAGACGUUCGUUGAGGUGUGUUAUAUUUGUUGUGUACAUGAUUUAUCUGUAUCAUGCUCCCUCCAGGUUGGGGGAGAGCUCCUGCCUCAAGUGGAGGAGUUUAAGUAUCAUGGGGUCUUGUUCACGAGUGAGGGAAGGAUAGCGUGUGAGAUUGACAGGCGGAUCGGUGCAGCGGCC